UAUUUAUACCAUUGUCUAAUAAUUAUUUUACUAUAUAUCCUAUCCAUAAUUGUAUCAUUUUAUCUACAUCUGUUACAUAGUCUAAGUCUAGGAAGUUAUAAUAUUUAUUAAUUAUUUGUUUAGGUGUCCAUUUGUUGUAUUCAUCCUUUUGGUUAUAUUUUUUAAACUUAUUUUUAUAAUAAUAUGUAGGUUUUCUUAUUUUU
rnacentral:lncRNA from 1 species